GAUGAAGAACGUAGCGAAAUGCGAUAAGUAAUGCGAAUUGCAGAAUUCAGCGAGUCAUCGAAUCUUUGAACGCACAUUGCGCCCCCUGGUAUUCCGGGGGGCAUGCCUGUCCGAGCGUCAUUACAACCCUCAAGCUCAGCUUGGUGUUGGGCCCCGCCGCCCCGGCGGGCCCUAAAGUCAGUGGCGGUGCCGUCCGGCUCCGAGCGUAGUAAUUCUUCUCGCUCUGGAGGUCCGGUCGUGUGCUCGCCAGCAACCCCCAAUUUUUUUCAGGUUGACCUCGGAUCAGGUAGGGAUACCCGCUGAACUUAAGCAUAUCAAUAAGCGGAGGA
rnacentral:misc_RNA from 1 species